rnacentral:misc_RNA from 1 species
AAGUCGUAACAAGGUUUCCGUAGGUGAACCUGCGGAAGGAUCAUUAACACAAUUUUGAUUCACAAAUCUCUUUGCUUCGUUGUCUUUUUUUUCUAGAUGCAAGAAAUUGCAGCUAGAGAAGGAGCAACAAGCAAUUAACCCCCUUUCUAUGACGAAAAAUCUUUACAAAAGAAUGGAAGAAAAAGGAAUGUGUUUCGUCACAAUCCGUUUCAACCGUUUUUUUCCUUUACCCAAUUUUUUUUACCCCUUUUACAACAUGUAAUAGACUGAAAACAAAAAUCAUAUUCUAGAUCUCUAGAAUCUAAAACUAAGAAAACAACUCUUAGCAACGGAUAUCUAGGUUCUC